rnacentral:sRNA from 1 species
UGAAAACGACAAUCAGCAGGGAAUUGG